rnacentral:lncRNA from 1 species
CUCUAUCAGGACCUUGUCUAGGCUAGAGAAGAAGAAUAAGAAAAAUUGGACAAGAGGAGCCUAUUCUAAAAAAAAAAAGGAGAAUUGGAUGUCUUGGACACUAGGUGUGCACCCCUAUUUAUAUUGCACGUAGGGGUGAAAACCAAGCAUCCCACGCCCACACACAAAGCAUCUCAUGCCUCCCCCCAUUUUCUCACGCCCCAUC